AAUCCACCCUUCAUCGGUGCCCAGUUCUAUGAGUCUUGACAAAAUGUGUACAUACAGUCAUGUCACCAUCCCCACAAUCGAGCCUAUUUGCGUCACCCCAGAAACUGUCCUUGUGCUUUGUGGACAUCAACCUCCUCUCUUUACUCACAUCCCCUUGUAACCACCGACCUGAUUUUUUUUCCCCUCUGAGUUUGCUUUUUCCAGACUAUCAUAUAAGGGGAAUCAUUCUAUGGAGCCCUUUGAGCCUGGCUUCUCCUAGUCAACCGAAGACAUUUGAGAGUCCCCCAAACUAUUCCAUGUGCCAAGACUUUAUUAUUGCUGUGUACUGUUCCAUGGUACAGAUAACUUCCAUCUCUCUUAUGGAGUGGUGAAAACCUCCAUUUUCUGGUAGCUACACAUCCCCUGGUUGCAGGGCUUGGGUCCCUUAGAGCAGAGCAUGAACCUGAUUCCAGAGGAGAAUCUACAUUAGAAACAAGAAAUCACUUUCUCCUUCCCUUCUUUCAGACCCCGAGAGCAGAGGGCACCCCGGGACUUCGGGCAUUCAUCUGGAAAGUAGAGGAGGGGGGCACGGGGUGUCUAGAGGGAGUUUGAGCACAGUGAUGGGCACAGAGGUGGGACACAAACUGUGUGUGCAGAUGAACUCAUGUUGUGUCUUCCUUCUCUCCCUUUCUUCUUCUCUGCCUAUUUGUGUUCCUGUCCCUGACAAUCUCGUAUCCUCACCAGGGAAGGCAGGAAGGGCAGGCGUCCAAAAUAGCAUGGAAUAUGACUUUAUCACUUGUGUAACCCUUCUGUUAGCUAACUAACUAACUAACUAACUGCAGAGUUUACAAAUCCUCAGCAUUGGGCUCUGGAGUUGAGCUCUGGUCUCUGGGUGCUGCGGUGCCAAUAGAUGCCACAGCCUCCAAAUUGCAGUCACUAAAAAUAGGUCCACGUCACCUGGUCCCACUUCUUUUAAGUGCAUGGCUUCUGUGCUGGAUCCAAAAACCUGGAUAAUUAGCUUUAAAAGCCUCAUUUGCAGGAGGAGGGUAGGUGGGAGGGCUGUCCGUAGGCGGAAGGCGCAUGGGGAAGAAGAGCUGGUUGAGAUGACAACUCUGUAAAGGAAAUGGAGCAGUGAAAGGAGGAGAGAAGGAGAGAAAAACAAAAGUGCCUUUUGAAGGAAGAAGCCACUCUGAGUCUGGAGUGAGGUGACUCAUGGAAAAGAUCUUUUCCCAGAGAGCCAGUAAAAGGCCACAGAUGCAGCUGAAGAGGCAGUGGUACCCACGUGGACAUCAGACUGUCACUGAAAAAAGCUGAAGAUGCAAAUAGGUACAAAGAUGUCACACCGGUGAUGGGGACCCUUCUGGGAUUCAGGAAAUGGAGAUAAUCUAUGCCUGAGAAUAAAGAACUCUAUGACGCAUUUCUUCGGUGUUUACUCCAUAAAAUUAUCCAAAAUUUCCCAAAUGCAAGUAAGAUUAUAGAUACGACAUUUGGUGGCAGUCCUUUCUUCCCAGGAGGAUGAGAGUGGCAUUCCCCCUCGGUCCCUUGUCCUGGCUGCCACCCAAGCCACAAGUCUGAUCUAGUCUCAUCAUUCAUGAAAAACCAGAGAAAAUUCAAGAAACUUGUUGCUGCAUAUGAAAAUCUCACAAAGCCCUCAAAGAAACAAAUGUAUUUGGAGUUAUCCCUUGCAAUCUUUGUGCUGUGAAAAUGUAAAUAAGCUACUUCCUGAAUUAAAAUUGGGUCAAAUGCCUGGUCUUGGCUUUCUCCAGUGCAACAUCUUUCACAUAUGACUUAGGAGUGAGGCCAUUGUUUCAGAAAUAAAACUUUGCUGUCAAGAAAUUAGCUGAGGAGGUCCCUCAUGGCUUAGUGGGUUAAGGACCUGGUGUUGUCACUGCUCUGGCUCUGGUUAUAGCUGUGGUACAGGUUUGAUCCCUGGCAUGGGAACUUCCUCAUGCCUCAGGCACAGCUGGCCAAAAAAGAGAGAGAGAGAGAAAAGAAAUUAGCUAGAGAAAUGAUGUUGAGAAAGAUGGAAUAAUAAGAUGCAGCUCACUGGUCCCACAAAUCCCUUCUCCUUCACUGAUUCAUUCAUUCUAAAGUGAAUUUACUAAGCACCUAUCUCUGCCAGGCUCUGCACUGAAUACUAGAGAAACUGAGAUGAACCAGACUCCCUCCUGCCCUCAAGGAACCCACAGUGCAGUGGGGGCAUCAGAAACUCAAGUAAAUUAUUGCAAAAAUGUGUUUUAUGUUGAAAAGAACUUUAUACAAGAUAUUGUGCAAAUGCAGAAAAUGACCUUGGAGGAAUCCAUGAAGGCUGCAAUAAGACUCUUAAGGAGUGGAUGUUGAAGUAGGAAUCAGAGUUUGUCCCCCUAGUAGCAGUAAUGGAAAAUGAGAGAAGAUGGAAACCAAAAUAUCCAAAGUAUCCUGUUAGGACUUGGUGACUGGAUUUUGCUGGUCGGAAUAGAGUGGGGAGUGGGAACACAAUAAAGCGGGAAGAUAACUAAAGGAAAGCUGUUUAUUUACUCAUAGCACCUUUUUUUUAUUUUUUCAGGUCUGCACCUGUGGCAUAUGGAGGUUCCCGGGGUAGGGGUCAAAUUGGAGCUGUAGCCGCCGGCCUACACCACAGCCACAGCAAUGUCAGAUAGGAGCGGUGUCUGCAACUUACAUCACAGCUCAUGGCAACGCCGGAUCCUUAACCCACUGAGCAAGGCCAGGGAGCCUAUGUCCCCGUGGAGCUGGGGUAUGCCACCCCCCCCCCUCGGCACCUGGAUGUGGUCAUCAACCUGGAAGAUUUCUGAACCCCCAUAAUUUAGGGAUUGUUGUGGAGGCUCAUUACAUAGGCAUGAUCAAUUAUUAACUCAGUCUCCACUCCGCCCCCUGGGAGGAUGUGGGGGUGGGGUUGUGCUGAAAGUUCUAGAUUUCCAAUAGUGGCUUGGUCUUUCUGGUGACCAGUUCCAACCCUGAAGCUUUCCAGGCCACCAAGAGUCACCUCGUUAGAACAAAAGAUGCUCCUAUCGCCCAAUGUGAUAUCAAAGGAUUUCGGAACUCUGUGUAAGAUGCUUGUAUCACUCCCCUCACUUGGGAAAUUUCAAGGGUUUUUAGAAACUCUAUCAGGAACCAGGGGUGGAGACCAGCUAUAUAGUUCUUAUUAUGUUGUGGUGACUGCAGGGGUGACUAGUUGGGGGUGACGGGACGCCCAGCCCAGCUCGUGGCUCCCCUAGGCAGAGUGGGUGUCCAUUCUACAUAACCAUAUCUCUAGCUCUGCUUUGAACUUGGCAAACUACAAUCAGGAAAUCUCUUUUUCUUCCACCCAAAUCUCAGGCAGCCUUCUCUCAGCAUUUUUUUUUAAACUAAUUUUAGUUAUUGUCUAAUUUUCAUAUAUUUUAACAUUCCAUACCAUCAAAAUUAAGCUUCCAUCUUCCAUCCAGUUCAAAGCCUAACUGAGGACUCCCUCUCUCAGUUGUGUUUUUGGGGGGCCUCAAGGGGACAACUGGGGAGAAAAGGAACAGCAGGAAUGAGGUGAAGUUCUAUUUGGUUAACAUGUGCUCCCUGGAGUUCUGGUGGGUCAUGCUCUCUAUCAUGGGUCAAGGGUCAAGCUCCCCCCCACCUCCCCCUCUCCCCCCACCCCAACAGGCUGACUUCUGGGCUCUUUGAAGACAUCCAUACUCUGUUGCCCAGGAAAGUCACUGCAGUUUUUGUGCUAGGGGCCCCUCCACUGGCAUUCAGUUCUAAUGUCCAGGGUCUUUCCAAGAUGGCUCUAAGCUGGCUGUAUCCCCCUGAUUUAGGGGAACUUACAACCCUUUACUCCAACAGAGCAUGGACUUGUAGCUUCCGUCACUACUACUGUUACAGCUAAAAACUAGUGAAAACAGAUUUAAUUAGGUUAUGCCCUGCCUCGGCCCACUUCCUCUAACCAGCUUUCACGAAUGAUUUCUUCCUGCUUAAUUACCUUAUUUUACCAAUGAUUGCUUUCUAGUUAGAGGUAUAUUGCACUACAAAGCAACAGUCAUCAAAACCAUAUGGUACUGGCACAAAGACAGAACUAUAGAUCAGUGGAAUAGGAUAGAAAGCCCAGAAUUAA